rnacentral:rRNA from 1 species
UAACGCGAAGAACCUUACCAGGUCUUGACAUCCUUUGAAGCUUUUAGAGAUAGAAGUGUUCUCUUCGGAGACAAAGUGACAGGUGGUGCAUGGUCGUCGUCAGCUCGUGUCGUGAGAUGUUGGGUUAAGUCCCGCAACGAGCGCAACCCUUAUUGUUAGUUGCCAGCAUUCAGAUGGGCACUCUAGCGAGACUGCCGGUGACAAACCGGAGGAAGGCGGGGACGACGUCAGAUCAUCAUGCCCCUUAUGACCUGGGCUACACACGUGCUACAAUGGCGUAUACAACGAGUUGCCAACCCGCGAGGGUGAGCUAAUCUCUUAAAGUACGCCUCAGUUCGGAUUGUAGUCUGCAACUCGACUACAUGAAGUCGGAAUCGCUAGUAAUCGCGGAUCAG